UUGACUUUUGACCAAAUCGAACGAAAUUUGUGAUAUUUUUCUAAUAAUUUAAAAAAAUAGAAAUUUUGCAAAUCUUAAAAUGUUCCUAAUACCAAAUAACAAGUGAAUUUGAGUGAAAUUUUAUAACGGUAAAUGGAAUUCAAUAAAAAGGAAUCAUAUUAUUAAUAAGUUAAAUCAAAAAAAUGUUUUAGAAAAAAUUGCAAAAAAAAGUGACAAAAAAAUCCUAGAUUGUCUCGCAAUUAGAAAUUUAUGGUGUCGCGUAUUUGUGGUUCGUUUGAUGUCGUUGUGUUUUGUCGAUGGAGUCAGUCGGUAACGGUUUAUUGUGUUAUAGUAUUCGUAUAUUGUCAUUGUUGUUCUUGCUGAAAAAAAUACACUCACAUAAAAAGGAAACGACAACAAAAAUAAAGGGAAUUUGUUUGUUUACAUCUCUUUUAUAUGUAUAAAAAUGUGUAAAUUGUUGAUGUGAUUUACUACUACAACAACAAAAAACUUAAGUUUGAUUACAACAACUUUACGAGAGUACUACAUAUAUAUAUAAGUGAUGUCUACGACAGACAUAUAUAAAAUAUUCGUCUCCAUAAUAGUUGUAGUAGUAGUAAAUAAGUAAAGUGAGAAAAUUUUAAUUAUUCGUAAUGCCAAGUGUUUGUGUGCAAAAUAUGUAAUUGAGUAAAUGACUACAAGUUGCAAGCAACCUGUGCAACGUCCAGCUUCAUCAUCACAAUAACGUAGUAAUAUUAUUUAACGAGUAGUGUAACCUUGUCAGAUGCAUAUUAAAUGAUAUUUUAUUUCAUAUGAAUUUUCUUACAUAUAUACAUGCAACACACAUGUGCUUACAUAUACUACAUAUUUAUAUAAAAUAGCACUUGCAUUUAGACAGACGGAGAGACAUACAAAUAGACAUUUACUAAAAUGUAUUGUUGCACUCUGAAGAUGACUUAAGUUGUUGUUGCUGUUCGAUAUUCAACAGGUUCUGGAAAAUGGUAAUUAAGUGGUAAAGUACUCAAUCAACAUAAGAUUUUCAUAUUGAAUUUUUAAAAAUGUAUAUUUUCC